rnacentral:rRNA from 1 species
UCGAACGGAGGAUGUACGGUGAAGAGAUUUCGGUCAUAUCAUGUGCAUCUUUAGUGGCGGACGGGUGAGUAACGCGUGGGUAACCUGCCUUACACAGGGGGAUAACACUUAGAAAUAGGUGCUAAUACCGCAUGAGCGCACAGGACCGCAUGGUCGAGUGUGAAAAACUGAGGUGGUGUAAGAUGGACCCGCGUCUGAUUAGCUAGUUGGUGAGGUAACGGCCCACCAAGGCGACGAUCAGUAGCCGGCCUGAGAGGGUGGACGGCCACAUUGGGACUGAGACACGGCCCAAACUCCUACGGGAGGCAGCAGUGGGGGAUAUUGGACAAUGGGGGGAACCCUGAUCCAGCGACGCCGCGUGAGUGAAGAAGUAUCUCGGUAUGUAAAGCUCUAUCAGCAGGGAAGAAAGAAAUGACGGUACCUGAGUAAGAAGCCCCGGCUAACUACGUGCCAGCAGCCGCGGUAAUACGUAGGGGGCAAGCGUUAUCCGGAAUUACUGGGUGUAAAGGGAGCGUAGACGGUGAUGUAAGUCUGGCGCGAAAGGCGGGGGCCCAACCCCCGGACUGCUCUGGAAACUAUGUGACUGGAGUGCAGGAGAGGUGAGCGGAAUUCCUAGUGUAGCGGUGAAAUGCGUAGAUAUUUGAGAGAACACCAGUGGCGAAGGCGGCUCACUGGACUGUAACUGACGUUGAGGCUCGAAAGCG